CUCAACCUAGCAGUUCACUAUUUUAGCCUCAGAGGAGUCAGAGAAAAGCUCUCACAGAAGGAUACAAAACCCCAAAAAGGUGCUGGAAGCCAUACCCAGCAGCUGGCAGGUGGGAAGCAGAGUCUCUGUGGAUGGGUGGAGUAAAUGCUGUGAGGUUACGGCUUUUAAGGAAAUACGAGUGGACACAGUCGCCAUGGGAAAAAUGAAGGCCUGUCAAAACCAGAAGAUUUCAUGAAAUUAUUUGUUUUUUCUUAAAACUUUUUUAGGAAUUAAAAAAAAUAUUUUGCUAAG
rnacentral:lncRNA from 1 species